rnacentral:rRNA from 1 species
UACGAAGGGGGCUAGCGUUGCUCGGAAUCACUGGGCGUAAAGCGCACGUAGGCGGAUUGCUAAGUCAGGGGUGAAAUCCUGGAGCUCAACUCCAGAACUGCCUUUGAUACUGGCGACCUUGAGUCCGGGAGAGGUGAGUGGAACUGCGAGUGUAGAGGUGAAAUUCGUAGAUAUUCGCAAGAACACCAGUGGCGAAGGCGGCUCACUGGCCCGGUACUGACGCUGAGGAGCGAAAGCCAGGGGAGCAAACGGG